AUGGCCGAGGCCCCCCCGCGCCGCCUCGGCCUGGCCCCCCCGCCCGGGGACGCCCCCCGCGCCGAGCUGGUGGCGCUCACGGCGGUGCAGAGCGAGCGGGGCGAGGCGGGCGGGGGCGGCUCCCCGCGCCGCCUGGGCCUUCUGGGCAGCCCCCUACCGCCGGGCGCGCCCCUCCCUGGGCCGGGCUCAGGCUCGGGCUCCGCCUGCGGCCAGCGCUCCUCGGCCGCGCACAAGCGCUACCGCCGCCUGCAGAACUGGGUCUACAACGUGCUGGAGCGACCCCGCGGCUGGGCCUUCGUCUACCACGUCUUCAUAUUUUUGCUGGUCUUCAGCUGCCUGGUGCUGUCCGUGCUGUCCACUAUUCAGGAGCACCAGGAACUUGCCAAUGAAUGUCUCCUCAUCUUGGAAUUCGUGAUGAUCGUGGUGUUUGGCCUGGAGUACAUCAUCCGCGUCUGGUCCGCGGGAUGCUGCUGCCGCUACCGAGGAUGGCAGGGCCGCUUCCGCUUUGCCAGAAAACCCUUCUGUGUCAUCGACUUCAUCGUGUUCGUGGCCUCGGUGGCCGUCAUCGCUGCGGGCACGCAGGGCAACAUCUUCGCCACGUCCGCGCUGCGGAGCAUGCGCUUCCUGCAAAUCCUGCGCAUGGUCCGUAUGGACCGCCGCGGCGGCACCUGGAAGCUGCUGGGCUCUGUGGUCUACGCGCACAGCAAGGAGCUGAUCACCGCCUGGUACAUCGGGUUCCUGGUGCUCAUCUUCGCCUCCUUCCUGGUCUAUCUGGCCGAGAAGGAUGCCAACUCCGACUUCUCCUCCUAUGCCGACUCACUCUGGUGGGGGACGAUCACACUGACGACCAUUGGCUAUGGUGACAAGACACCGCACACAUGGCUGGGCAGGGUCCUGGCUGCCGGCUUCGCCUUACUAGGCAUCUCCUUCUUUGCCUUGCCUGCUGGCAUCCUGGGCUCUGGCUUUGCCCUGAAGGUGCAGGAGCAGCACCGUCAGAAGCACUUUGAGAAGAGGAGGAUGCCUGCAGCCAACCUCAUCCAGGCUGCGUGGCGUUUGUACUCCACCGACACGAGCCGGGCCUACCUGACGGCCACCUGGUACUACUAUGACAGUAUCCUCCCAUCCUUCAGAGAGCUGGCCCUCUUGUUUGAGCACGUGCAACGGGCCCGCAAUGGGGGCCUACGGCCCCUGGAGGUGCGGCGGGCGCCGGUACCUGAUGGAGCGCCCUCCCGUUACCCGCCCGUUGCCACCUGCCACCGGCCGGGCAGCGCCUCCUUCUGCCCUGGGGAAAGGUAGGGGCCCCCUGGGGCCACCACCUCCUCUUGCUUCUCCUUCUCCUUUUCCAUUCUUUGUCUCACCCUCUCUCAGACCUGUGUGCAGCCACCAUGUGGGUGUCUGGGCCUGUUCUGGGGACUCCCAGGCCUUGUCAUGAGGCCUGGGCAGUUGUCGUUGGAUGGCCUGACAGCUGGAGAGAGGAGGAGGCCGCUGGCCACAGGUGCUUACGGCUCAGGUAAUCGUGGGCACCAUUCUGGGGCGCGAGGGCCGGGAACCCCCUCCCCCAGCAUGUUCCUCUAGAAGGGGCUCGCCACUGAACUUGCCUCCUGGGAACAAGACGCCAGCUGGAGAGAGAGCUCUGUGACUAAGAACCGCUGUAGGACCUACAUAAACUCAGCCAAUGACUAAUGCUCUUGUCUUGUGUAACCCUCGUCCACAGCUUGGCUAAUCCCAGAGGGUCCUCUUGGGAUUCUCCCACAAUGCCUUUCUUCCUUACUGAGGGACAUUUUGCUGCUCCUAACAGUCUUUUUCCCCUUGACCUGUCUCUCCUGGAGCUCUUGCAUCUUGAAAGAAGAAGAAAGAACAAUGCUUACCCCCACAUAAAUGUUCAAAGUAGUGGAAUUUCAGGCAUUUUUGGAGAAGGGAAGCUCACUGACUCACAGUAUGGGAAGAGGGCUGUUUCUAUAAAGGUAUAGCUUUGAGGUCAAGGAUUCAGUUCCCCCUGAUUCCUCCCUUGCCCCCUCUCCAUCUCUUUGUUUUGUCUCAUCUUCACACAUCAUCCCUGAGCAGCCAGGUAGACAUCUGGGCCUUAAGCCUCAGGUGCGAUUCCGAGCCCUGGGCCCAGAACAGGGGAAGGGAGAAGAGGCCAGCCACGCUGCAGUGGGAAGGAGGCAGUGUGGUGAAAGCUGGUCUCUGACACCUGAGGCUGUGUGUCCUUGAGAAAGUUACUGAGUCCCUCUGGGCCUCUGGGUCCUAGGCAGAACAUCAGCAGUAGUUAGGCUGAUCAGGGGCUCUGGGUUCUCCAGGCUGCAAAGGCCUGGGGAACGGGGUGGAGGGGGGUGCGGUGGUGAGGGGUUGGUGCAGAGGAUGCUGGGAACAGCAUUUCUUCCCUGUGAUUGGUGAGGGCAUCUCCAGCCAGGAGCUGAACAGAAGCAGGGAGACCGGGUGG